UGGGCAACCUGCCCUUCUCAUCGGAAUAAGCGUUGGAAACGACGUCUAAUGCCGAAUACGACCUCCUUUCGCAUGAUCGGAGGUGGAAAGCUCCGGCGGAGAAGGAUGAGCUCGCGGCCUAUCAGCUAGUUGGUGUGGGUAACGCCACAAGGCGACGACGGGUAGCCGGCCUGAGGAGGGUGACCGGCCACACGUGGGACUGAGACACGGCCCAGACUCCGUACGGGAGCAGCAGGU
rnacentral:rRNA from 1 species